GAUGAACGCUAGCUACAGGCUUAACACAUGCAAGUCGAGGGGAAACGACAUCGAAAGCUUGCUUUUGGUGGGCGUCGACCGGCGCACGGGUGAGUAACGCGUAUCCAACUUGCCCACCACUUGGGGAUAACCUUGCGAAAGUAAGACUAAUACCCAAUGAUAUCCCACGAAGGCAUCCGAAUGGGAUUAAAGAUUUAUCGGUGAUGGAUGGGGAUGCGUCUGAUUAGCUUGUUGGCGGGGUAACGGCCCACCAAGGCAACGAUCAGUAGGGGUUCUGAGAGGAAGGUCCCCCACAUUGGAACUGAGAUACGGUCCAAACUCCUACGGGAGGCAGCAGUGAGGAAUAUUGGUCAAUGGGCGUAGCCUGAACCAGCCAAGUCGCGUGAGGGAUGACGGCCCUACGGGUUGUAAACCUCUUUUACAAGGGAAUAAAGUGGGUCUCGUGAGACUUUUUGCAUGUACCUUAUGAAUAAGGACCGGCUAAUUCCGUG
rnacentral:rRNA from 1 species